rnacentral:rRNA from 1 species
CACGAACGCUGGCGGCAGGCUUAACACACGCAAGUCGAGCGCCCGCAAGGGGAGCGGCAGACGGGUGAGUAACGCGUGGGAAUCUACCCAUCUCUACGGAAUAACGCAUGGAAACGUGUGCUAAUACCGUAUACGUCCUUCGGGAGAAAGAUUUAUCGGAGAUGGAUGAGCCCGCGUUGGAUUAGCUAGUUGGUGGGGUAAAGGCCUACCAAGGCGACGAUCCAUAGCUGGUCUGGGAGGAUGAUCAGCCACACUGGGACUGAGACACGGCCCAGACUCCUACGGGAGGCAGCAGUGGGGAAUAUUGGACAAUGGGCGCAAGCCUGAUCCAGCCAUGCCGCGUGAGUGAUGAAGGCCCUAGGGUUGUAAAGCUCUUUCACCGGUGAAGAUAAUGACGGUAACCGGAGAAGAAGCCCCGGCUAACUUCGUGCCAGCCGCCGCGGUAAGAC